UUAUUUUUAGGGAUACAUGUCUUGACAGUUCUUUUAUUUGCAUGCCAAUUUCAUUGCUGUGUAUAGAUGUUUCAUUGGUUUCAGUAAAGGCGAUUGUAGAUUUAGAUCUAUACUUUGUUAAGCCUUGCGUGUAAUUUACACUGGAAAGUACUCUGAGUUCAACCAUAAUUAACAAUAUAGGAAAUAUAUUGAAAAUGAAUCACUUAGAACUCUGGUUUUUUUGUUUUUAUAAAUUUUGACCGUAUUCCCAUUGGAAAUCUCAAUUUCCCAGAAAGUUUAGUAGUCAAAAAUUGCUCCAAUUUGAAUUUAAGAUUAAAUAAAUUAGAAAAGGUUAAAAUAUUCAUAUACUCUAUUAUAUUAAUAGAAAAAAUUUGUGGUUCUUGUUAGAAGUACACAUUUUUAUAAUAUUGAUAUAAUAAAGCAUUGUUCAAAAUGUGUUACACUUUAGUAAAAGCUUGAAAGCAUUGAGACAGAUUGUCAAACCAGUCAACUUCUAAAUGCGUAGGCGUAAUAUGCAAACUAUCCAGUCUUUAUGGGAUGAUUAAAACUUGAUUCAUUUUAGUCAACUAUAUAAAAUUGACUAUAGAUUUACAAAACAGUACAUUUAGUCUUCUGAAAGUGGCUUUUUCAGUAAGAGCACUCUUCAACCUUUUAUAAAAUGUUGUUUCUUUUUAUAAAAUGAUAUAUUUGGGUAAUUACUCAUAACUCUUAUUAGUAGUGAUAAAAUUGACAGUUCUUGAGUCCUGCCAGUGUAAUUAGUCAUAAGACUUUUGACUUGAUGAUCACUGAAUGUUGAUUAGGUGUAUUUAAAAGUUGUAACCAGCUAAGAUGAGAUCACAGUUUCAUUCUAGAUAUUUUCCUAGGGAAAACAGAAUCUGCCAAGAAAAUUGGAAACUCAGCUUCCUGUCCCUGUUAUCGUGAUGCCCCUUUGUUGCCGCAUGGUUCUGGCAGGGAGGUACCAGGGAAAUUGUGGUCUGCAGCUUCUCCAGAGAACAGAUUUAUAGAACAAAGAGCGCACAUAGGAUACACAGAAAGAUUGUUUAAAGAAAAAUUUGGCCCUUGCUUCUCAGGAAUUGGUCAUGGAUGUGGAUGCUGAUUGGAUGCUAGAUUUUAAAAGAGCUUUAUAAACCUUUUGCAGGAUACUUGAGGAAACUUGAAAAUGGCCUGAAUAUUGAUACACUCUGGAAUAUUUAUCAAGUGUGAUAAUAUUAUUACACAUACCUAGGAAAAUAUCCUUAUUCUUAAAGGAGGUGCAUGAUGAAUUAGUUUCAGGAAGUCAAAUACAAGAAAAUAACGUGAAACAAACAUGGCAGAAUGUUGACAAUUAAUGAAUCCAGGCAAGGGGUAUAUAGGCAUUCGGUUUACUAUUUAUCAACUUAAAUAGUGAGUUCUGAAAGGGGAAGCAUUUUGUGGAAAAGGUGUAUGGGGAUUGGUUUCAUGCUGAAAUCAAAUAGAGAUCUGAGGAAAUUUUAUUUGUUUGUAUAGUCAGUUUUAAAAAAUAAAUCCGUAUAAAUAGCCUGGGCUAUACAAACAAUUUUAGAUUUUAGUUCAUAGUUUUUUUAUACUUAAAUGCUGUUCACCAACACAAUUUUCACAAAUUUAUACAUAGAAAAGAUAAAUUGGAAAUGGCAUUCUGAAAGUACCAACUUUUGAAAUUUUACAUUUGUAUUACAGUACUGCAAGUCUAGACUGAUAAGCCAGAGAUUCUUAGAGGAUCAAAACAGGCACCGUUCAUUACCGUGUCAUUUGUUUAUUCUUAAGUGGAUGCUUCUAAAAUAUACAAAAGUACUUUAAAAAUAUAGUCAUGUUAAAAACAUAUUACUGAAUUGUGCUACUGCUUUUAACUUUAUUAAGUUAUCCCUGUCAAGAAGUAUUUUAAUGAGCAGAAGCCUGUUAUCUCUAUAUGCAAAUUAUCAAUCCUGAAUCUGUGUUAUACUAGUUAAUAUCCAUCAGGGGUCUAUCCAUUUGUUCUGUAGAGGGCCAGAUAGAAUGUAGUUUUGGCUUUGUAGGCCAUAGGGUUUCUGUCUACUACUUAACUGUGCCAUUGUAGUCUGAAGGCAGACAAUAAGUAAGUUAGACAGUAAGUGAAUGAAUGUCCAUGGCUGUGUUCCAGUAAAACUUUGUAUACAUAAACAGGCAGCUGGCCUGCCACAGUUUGUUAACUCCUGCCACCUAUACUUUAGAUACAGAAAUUUGUUGCCAGUGGAUAGCCUCUUUUGUAGGACGGGCAAAAAGAGUUUGAAAUAAGGAUCAAACUUUUAGUUUACUUAUUGUAAUGAGUUCUUAAAGUAUUUGCAAAAUCUGUCUUUGUGUUUUGUUUUUUGUUUCUUACAUUAAAGAUUGCAUGUAUGGGUCUUCUGAAUCGUGUUGAAUCGAACGUGGCUGUGGACACUCAUCUUUAAAAUUGAGCUAACACUCAUCCUAAGGUUAUUGAACUGAGGAGAAGAUUUAUGCCUAAGUGUUUUCUAAAGAGUUUGUUAAG